GUAGGGAAUCUUCCACAAUGGACGAAAGUCUGAUGGAGCAACGCCGCGUGAGUGAAGAAGGUCUUCGGAUCGUAAAACUCUGUUGUUAGAGAAGAACGUGCAUGAUAGUAACUGAUCAUGUAAUGACGGUAUCUAACCAGAAAGCCACGGCUAACUACGUGCCAGCAGCCGCGGUAAUACGUAGGUGGCAAGCGUUGUCCGGAUUUAUUGGGCGUAAAGGGAACGCAGGCGGUUUUUUAAGUCUGAUGUGAAAGCCUUCGGCUUAACCGAAGAAUAGCAUUGGAAACUGGAAGACUUGAGUGCAGAAGAGGAGAGUGGAAUUCCAUGUGUAGCGGUGAAAUGCGUAGAUAUAUGGAGGAACACAGUGGCGAAAGCGGCUCUCUGGUCUGUAACUGACGCUGAGGUUCGAAAGCGUGGGUAGCAAACAGGAUUAGAAACCCUGGUAGUCC
rnacentral:rRNA from 1 species